rnacentral:rRNA from 1 species
CACGUAGGGGCCAAGCGUUGUCCGGAUUUAUUGGGCGUAAAGAGCUCGUAGGCGGUUCGGUAAGUCGGGUGUGAACCUCCAGGCUCAACCUGGAGACGCCACCCGAUACUGCUGUGACUGGAGUCCGGUAGGGAGCGUGGAAUUCCUGGUGUAGCGGUGAAAUGCGCAGAUAUCAGGAGGAAUACCAGCGGCGAAGGCGGCGCUCUGGGCCGGUACUGACGCUGAGGAGCGAAAGCGUGGGGAGCAAACAGG